GACGAACGCUGGCGGCGUGCUUAACACAUGCAAGUCGAACGAUGAAGCCGGAGCUUGCUCUGGUGAAUUAGUGGCGGACGGGUGAGUAACACGUGAGUAACCUGCCCUUGACUCCGGGCUCACUGCUAGAAAUGUUAGCUAAUACCGGAUACGACCCUCGGAGGCAUCUCCAGGGGGUGGAAAGAAUUUCGGUCAAGGAUGGACUCGCGGCCUAUCAGCUAGUUGGUGAGGUAACGGCUCACCAAGGCGACGACGGGUAGCCGGGCUGAGAGGGUGACCGGCCACACUGGGACUGAGACACGGCCCAGGCUCCUACGGGAUGCAGCAGUGGUGAAUAUUGCACAAUGGGCGCAAGCCUGAUGCAGCAACGCCGCGUGAGGGAUGACGGCCUUCGGGUUGUAAACCUCUUUUAGUAGGGAAGAAGCGAAAGUGACGGUACCUGCAGAAAAAGCACCGGCUAACUACGUGCCAGCCGCCGCAGUAA
rnacentral:rRNA from 1 species